rfam:Stegodyphus mimosarum contig114746, whole genome shotgun sequence.
GCCUUCGUGGUGUAGCGGCCAGCACGCUGGGCUCGUAUUCCAGAGGUCCGUUGUUCGAGUCCUGGAGAAGGCG